rnacentral:misc_RNA from 1 species
GAAAUGCGAUAACUAGUGUGAAUUGCAGAAUUCCGUGAAUCAUCGAGUCUUUGAACGCACAUUGCGCCCCCUGGUAUUCCGGGGGGCAUGCCUGUCCGAGCGUCAUUGCUGCCCAUCAAGCACGGCUUGUGUGUUGGGUCGUCGUCCCCCCUCCGGGGGGGACGGGCCCCAAAGGCAGCGGCGGCACCGCGUCCGAUCCUCGAGCGUAUGGGGCUUUGUCACCCGCUCUGUAGGCCCGGCCGGCGCUUGCCGAACGCAAAUCAAUCUUUUUCCAGGUUGACCUCGGAUCAGGUAGGGAUACCCGCUGAACUUAAGC